GAGGAAUAUUGGUCAAUGGCCGCAGGGCUGAACCAGCCAAGUCGCGUGAGGGAUGACGGUCCUAUGGAUUGUAAACCUCUUUUGUCAGGGAGCAAAGGACGCCACGUGUGGUGUUUUGCGAGUACCUGAAGAAAAAGCAUCGGCUAACUCC
rnacentral:rRNA from 1 species